rnacentral:rRNA from 1 species
GACAGAGGGUGCAAACGUUGUCCGGAUUUAUUGGGCGUAAAGAGCUCGUAGGCGGCUCGUUGCGUCGGCUGUGAAAACCCGCAGCUCAACUGUGGGCUUGCAGCCGAUACGGGCGGGCUGGAGUUCGGUAGGGGAGACUGGAAUUCCUGGUGUAGCGGUGAAAUGCGCAGAUAUCAGGAGGAACACCGGUGGCGAAGGCGGGUCUCUGGGCCGAUACUGACGCUGAGGAGCGAAAGCGUGGGGAGCGAACAGG